CCUACGGGAGGCAGCAGUGGGGAAUAUUGGACAAUGGGCGCAAGCCUGAUCCAGCCAUGCCGCGUGAGUGAUGAAGGCCUUAGGGUUGUAAAGCUCUUUCGGGGGACGAUAAUGACGGUACCCGSAGAAUAAGCCCCGGCUAACUUCGUGCCAGCAGCCGCGGUAAU
rnacentral:rRNA from 1 species